AGUAACGGCGAGUGAAGCGGGAAAAGCUCAAAUUUAAAAUCUGGCAGUCUUUGGCUGUCCGAGUUGUAAUCUAGAGAAGCAUUAUCCGCGCUGGGCCGUGUACAAGUCUCCUGGAAUGGGGCGUCAUAGAGGGUGAGAACCCCGUCCUUGACCCGGGCUGCCGGGGCUUUUGUGAUGUGCUCUCAAAGAGUCGAGUUGUUUGGGA
rnacentral:rRNA from 1 species